AGAGCGAACGCUGGCGGCAGGCCUAACACAUGCAAGUCGAGCGCCCGUAGCAAUACGGGAGCGGCAGACGGGAGAGUAACACGUGGGAACGCGCCCUUCGGUUCGGAAUAACUCAGGGAAACUUGAGCUAAUACCGGAUACGCCCUUACGGGGAAAGAUUUAUUGCCGAAGGAACGGCCCGCGUCCGAUUAGCUAGUUGGUGAGGUAAUGGCUCACCAAGGCGACGAUCGGUAGCUGGUCUGAGAGGAUGACCAGCCUCACUGGGACUGAGACACGGCCCAGACUCCUACGGGAGGCAGCAGUGGGGAAUAUUGGACAAUGGGCGCAAGCCUGAUCCAGCCAUGCCGCGUGGAUGAUGAAGGCCUUAGGGUUGUAAAGUCCUUUUAACGGGGAAGAUAAUGACGGUACCCGUAGAAUAAGCCCCGGCUAACUUCGCGCCAGCAGCCGC
rnacentral:rRNA from 1 species